UCUCCCCCUCUCUGUCUGUCCCUCGGUGUCCCCUACUCUGUCCCUCCAUCUGCCCCUCCAGCUCGGGCGCUUUCUCGUGCCCCCCGCCACCUCCUUUCCUGCCGCCCACCCCAGUCCUCCCCGCUCUACUUUUGUUCUGAGUCCUGGAGGAUUAAGGGUGAGGACGGUGCUGGGAGAGGUGGGUCUCACCGGGCUGGGCCCCCCUCACCUCUUCUCCAUGCCCUGGGGCCGGGCCAGGUGGAAGGAGUCAGGCCAGGAGUAUGAUGAGCUGCCCCACUACCCAGGCGUCGUGGACGGCCCCGAAGCCCUGGCCGGCUUCUCCGAGGCAGCGCCUCCGACACCCAGAGCCUCCGGGCCCUACGGCCCCCACCGGCCUCCCCAGCCCCCACGCCCAGGCUUGGACAGCGAGGGCCUGAAGCAGGAGAAGGAUGAGAUAUACGGACACCCCCUCUUCCCGCUGCUGGCCCUGGUCUUUGAGAAAUGUGAACUGGCCACCUGCUCGCCCCGCGACGGGGCGGGAGCCGGGGCCGGGCUGGGCGCACCCCUGGCCGGUGACGUCUGCUCCUCUGAUUCCUUCAACGAGGACAUCACAGCCUUUGCCAAACAGGUCCGCUCCGAGAGGCCUCUCUUCUCCUCCAACCCAGAGCUGGACAAUCUGAUGAUACAGGCCAUCCAGGUGCUCCGUUUCCACCUGCUGGGGCUGGAGAAGGUCCACGACCUGUGCGACAACUUCUGUCACCGCUACAUCACCUGCCUCAAGGGGAAGAUGCCCAUCGACCUGGUCAUCGAGGAUCGGGACGGCGGCUGCAGGGAGGACCUCGAGGACUACCCGGCCUCCUGCCCCAGCCUCCCAGAGCAGAAUAAUACGUGGAUUAGAGACCAUGAGGACAGUGGGUCUCUACAGCUGGGGACCCCGGGCCCGUCCAGCGGGGGCUUGGCCUCGCAGAGUGGGGACAACUCCAGUGACCCAGGAGACGGGCUGGACGCGAGCGUGGCCUCGCCCAGCUCUGGGGGCGAGGACGAGGAGCUGGACCAGGAGCGGCGGAGGAACAAGAAAAGAGGCAUCUUCCCCAAGGCGGCCACCAACAUCAUGAGGGCCUGGCUGUUCCAGCACCUCUCGCACCCGUACCCCUCGGAGGAGCAGAAGAAACAGCUGGCGCAGGACACGGGGCUCACCAUCCUGCAAGUCAACAACUGGUUCAUUAAUGCACGGAGACGCAUCGUGCAACCAAUGAUCGAUCAAUCCAACCGCACAGGACAGGGUGCAACCUUCAGCACAGAGGGCCAGCCCGUGGGGAGCUACACGGAGACACAGCCACAUAUGACCGGUAGGCCGCCAGGAUCGAUGGGGAUGAGUUUGAAUUUAGAAGGGGAGUGGCAUUAUCUAUAGAGGCUGGAUUCAGGAGACACUGUCUCAGGUAGGGUCCUGACCCUGAGAAGAUUCUGGGCUUGUGAGGAAGUGGACAUCGGAAACCAGUGGCAAUCCGGUACACCAGCUGCUCAGAGGAGAUAUCAGGGAAGACUUCGUGGAGGAAGCGGCUUCUGGGUGGGGCAUCGAAGGAUGAAUAGGAGCUCACUGGGUAUAAGUGGGGAGCAAGACCCCGGCCUGCCGACUGUGCCCACCGGGCUCACACCCGGCUCCGGUCCCCGCCUGGCCCUUGGCCUUCAGGACCCCGCCUCCUAUGGCCCUCCCACUCAACGCCUACCUCCCUGGGGCCCCACCGGGACACGAGGGGGGGCCUGAGCGCCCGCUUGAAGGUCUCUCAAGGACCAAGACAAGGCCUCUGGGCUCUGCGCCCCACUUCACCCUCCCGUCUGCCUGGAACCCGAGCUGAGAUCCUGGGCCUGGGUCUUCAGAAGAUGGUGGCCGGAAGGCCCCAGCCUCUAGGACAGAGAUGGAAUUGGGGGUGGGCUGGGGCCGUCGGGGGAAGAGGGUCACCCAGAUCUGACAUUUGGGGAGGUUCCCUUCGCCCUCCCAGCCCAUUCCCCUCCUCCCUACCUUCUACCUCCCUUUCUCUGAUCUACUUUUUUUUUUUUUAAUGAGAAAGUCUUAAAAACGAAAAGCCACGAAUCUGAAUUCUUGGGUCUCCUACAAGAUUCAAAUUCUCGCUCCUUCGAAGCUCAUGAAUCGAUCAGUCCUUAUAAUCACUGAUACUCUCUAUCCCGCUCCGUCCUCGGGCAUUCCGUGUGUAUCCGCUUUCGCUGUGUAACAAACAACCCCAAACUUCGCGGCUCAAAACACCCACUAUUUUUAAGCAAA